AGCACACAGACAAGACAAUGCAGGAGUGGCUUCAGGACAAGUCUCUGAAUGUCCUUGAGUGGCCCAGCCAGAGCCCGAAUUGCUGGGUAGCAUUUCCUGCAGAAACCUCAUAUAACCUAAACCAGAGAAACAUGACAAUGGAUAUUUACACACACCUUGGUUGGACUUACCUUGGUGGACUCAGUUUGGGGAAUCAACUGUCUUCCAACUUGAUCUCUUCAGCGACCAUUGGAGAGAGGCCUCGUUGCUUUAUCAGACUACAUGUGGAGACGCAGAGACGCCCAACUCAGUGGAAAAUUUACUUCCUUCCAGCAGGCAGCGUUUUUUUUGCCCACCAAGCAAGUUUUUGUAUGGAGGUCAAUGAGUGUCGAAUUUGGCCAACAACAAAAAAUGCAUCACUUAUUUGCUUGCAUGAGGUUUAUUUGAUCUAAUAGAAGUUCAGUAAUGGUUAAGUUGUUACGAGUGUACUUAUAUAAGUAGCACACGUAACAUCCUGGCAACUUGAGAAAAAACACUUCAUAUCGUAGAUGGCUCUGCAUAUUCAUAGUAUGAGGCUAGUAGCACAGCAGCUCUCUCGAUUGACGUCAUCUCUUGAAUAUUUAAAAUUAGAUUACAAUAAUGAGCUGUAUCCACCAAUCCAAAGAAAGGAUAAGCAACCCGCCCGUGCUGCUAUGUGGACAACGACUCCCAUUGUUAGGCCGGAGAUAUAUUGUAUCUUGUCACUAUAUCCAUAAUCUUUGCUACAGGUUGGAGUCCUCUCUGUAGCACGUUUGAUAUCUUUCCAUCUUGAGAAACUCUGGAAACACAUCAAAUACCAAAACGAGGAGGAAUAAAGAAGUGGCCUUAUGUUGCGGCAGAAAUGAAGCAAACGCUACACUU